rnacentral:rRNA from 1 species
GUAAGGAAUAUUGGUCAAUGGACGCAAGUCUGAACCAGCCAUGCCGCGUGGAGGAUGAAGGCCCUCUGGGUUGUAAACUUCUUUUAUCUGGGACGAAAAAGGGACUUUCUAGUUCAACUGACGGUACCAGAGGAAUAAGCACCGGCUAACUCCGUGCCAGCAGCCGCGGUAAUACGGAGGGUGCAAGCGUUAUCCGGAUUCACUGGGUUUAAAGGGUGCGUAGGUGGGCAGGUAAGUCAGUGGUGAAAUCUUUGGGCUUAACCCGAAAACUGCCAUUGAUACUAUUUGUCUUGAAUAUUGUGGAGGUCAGCGGAAUAUGUCAUGUAGCGGUGAAAUGCUUAGAUAUGACAUAGAACACCAAUUGCGAAGGCAGCUGGCUACACAUAUAUUGACACUGAUGCACGAAAGCGUGGGGAUCAAACAGGAUUAGAUACCCUGGUAGUCC